ensembl:lncRNA
GCACGGCUGCAGAUGUGCUGUAAACAAUGCAACUAGUGGAGGCGGCAAAGUGCUCAGUGUUGCCAGAUUGGAAAUGGUGAAGUAUCGUACCAAAGGCUCAAAAUGGUCGUAUUUGGAGGAUAAUUAUCGUGUAUCUGGCAACAUUGAGAUCGGUCGACCAAUGACUGUUCUCUCUACAGUCAGAGCUCGCGAAAGAAGGUGGAACGUAAGGGAGACACCAUUUCCAAAACUUGUAAGGGCGUAAUAACCAGUUUGUGAAAGACCCAGAGAAGGAUUUUUUAGGUCUCAAAAAGAGGACAUGUCCGGGGAAAAGAGGACGUUUGGUCACCCUAAUUAAACAGUCUGAUAACUGUCCUCGCAGCAGCUAACGAUAGCUCACCGCUUGUGUACCUACAGCAGCUAGCUAGCCAUCUACCUUCUAUUCGUAUUUAUUUUUCUACACAAUAGAAAAGCGAUGUGCUCUCGUGCCUCAUGCAGCUCUUCUGUGUUGCACGUCAAUACUUUGAGACAAACGAGGAGCGUCAAUCUAACGUAAAUGCUUUUCAAUAAAUGUCUUUAGUUCCUGCACAAUGAACAUGAAUCUCAAAUUAAAUGAUUAAUAUUCCCCAAAUUCCAAUUAACUACACUUCCGCUGUUACAGAGGGGAAACACUGUAAUCAUACUGUAAACUUUCAAAAGUUCAUAUAUUGUGCAUAGUUUGAAGUGAAAAAAAACUUUUCUUCAAUUGUGUUUGGGUUCAGGCUCUGUUUAGGAUCGGUAUCGGAAAAACCCAAACGAUACUCAUCCGUACCAGACAUGAGUCUGCACGCUCAACGUGAAGCUACAGCCAGCCGCUGGUUAGCUUAGCAUGGAGACUGGAGACAAGAGGGCUCGAAAGGGAUGUUUAGAAAUCCGCAUUCAACAGUUUACAAAUUUCCGACUUGAUGAAACAAUGGACAAAAAUUGUUCUUUAUUUAUUCUUAAAGUGUUUGCCUUUAAGAUCAAGAUGGGGUCAUAGAAAAAAACAAGUAGAGCAAAGUGUUUUAUGCACCAUGUUAAGUGGAUGAGCUUCAUCAAUACAAAUACACCGUCCACACACACACAUUUUCUCUAAUGGCUCAUUUGCAUAAUGUGGAUACCUUCACUGUAACCAUAGAGACGUUACAUCAUGAUGGAACAUUUCUCCAUGUUCCAUGUUCCAUGUUCUAUGCUCCGUUCACCACAGCAUAAGAAACACAGUCUGUUGCACAUCCAGUCAGUCAGUUUCAAACCUCGCAUCUACACACUGUUUUCCGGACCUACACUUGCAGAAAGCAACCAUGUAAUGCCUCAGGAGUCUGUAGAGGGGACGAAGACGCGUUCUGCUGCACUCAACAGAGCUCAAGACCAACGGGACGCCAUCAGGACGCCACGCCAUCAGGACGCCACGUCAACGGGACGCCAUCAGGACGUCACGUCAACCCCUCAGGAGCAAAUCCAGAUCUACUCAUGACACACACACACACACACACACCCACACACACACACACAACACACACACACACUAAAUGUACACACAGACACACUAACAUUUGGUUCUAAACAAAGACACACACUAAUAUUUAGAUGUACACAAAGACACAAUAACCAUUAGAUGUACACACAGACACACUUAACAAUUAGAUCUACACACAGACACACUAACAAUUACAUGUACACACAGACACACUAUCAUUUGGUUCUAAACAAAGACACACACUAAUAUGUAGAUGUACACAAAGACACAAUAACAUUUAGAUGUACACACAGACACACUAACAAUUAGAUCUACACACAGACACACUAACAAUUACAUAUACACACAGACACACUAACAUUUGGUUCUAAACAAAGACAUAAACUAAUAUUUUUGAUGUACAGGAAGACAUAUUAAUAUUUAGAUCUACACACAGACACACUAACAAUUAGAUGUACACACAGACACAUCCUGAUGAUCCUCCUCACGUCUCUUCUCCUUGUCUGCAGACCAACGGGACGCCAUCAGGACGCCAUCAGGACGCCACGUCAUCGGGACGCCAUCAGGAUGCCAUCAGGACGCCACGUCAACCCCUCAGGAGCAAAUCCAGAUCUACUCAUGACACACACCCACACCCACACACACACACACACACACACACACACACACACACAGAUGUACACACAGACACACUAACAUUUGGUUCUAAACAAAGACACACACUAAUAUUUAGAUGUACACACAGGAACACUAACAAUUACAUGUACACACAGACACACUAACAUUUGGUUCUAAACAAAGACACACACUAAUAUUUUGAUGUACACAAAGACACAUUCAUAUUUAGAUGUACACACAGGCACACUAACAAUUACAUGAACACACAGACACACUAACAUUUGGUUCCAAACAAAGACACACACUAACAUUUAGAUGUACACAAAGACACACACUAAUAUUUUGAUGUACACGAAGACAUAUUAAUAUUUAGAUCUACACACAGACACACUAACAAUUAGAUGUACACACAGACACAUCCUGAUGAUCCUCCUCACGUCUCUUCUCCUUGUCUGCAGACCAACGGGACGCCAUCAGGACGCCAUCAGGACGCCACGUCAUCGGGACGCUACGUCAUCAGGAUGCCAUCAGGACGCCACGUCAACCCCUACACAUUAAGAUGAACUGCUUCAGGUGUUUUCCCAAUGAUUGUGUUAUUAUUAUUGUUAAUCAUGUCGUCUGUUUAUUAUUUUAACAAUGAAAAUAAAUUUUGAUUAAAAAAAAACCAAAUGA